rnacentral:rRNA from 1 species
UUUCCGGUUGAUCCUGCCGGACCUGACUGCUAUCGGAUUGAUACUAAGCCAUGCGAGUCAUUGUAGCAAUACAAGGCAGACGGCUCAGUAACGCGUAGUCAACCUAACCUAUGGACGGGAAUAACCUCGGGAAACUGAGAAUAAUGCCCGAUAGAACACUAUAUCUGGAAUGGUUUGUGUUCCAAAUGAUUUAUCGCCGUAGGAUGGGACUGCGGCCUAUCAGUUUGUUGGUGAGGUAAUGGCCCACCAAGACUAUUACAGGUACGGGCUCUGAGAGGAGUAGCCCGGAGAUGGGUACUGAGACACGGACCCAGGCCCUAUGGGGCGCAGCAGGCGAGAAAACUUUGCAAUGUGCGAAAGCACGACAAGGUUAAUCCGAGUGGUUUCUGCUAAAGGAACCUUUUGUCGGUCCUAGAAACACCGAUGAAUAAGGGGUGGGCAAGUUCUGGUGUCAGCCGCCGCGGUAAAACCAGCACCUCAAGUGGUCAGGAUGAUUAUUGGGCCUAAAGCAUCCGUAGCCUGCUUUGUUAGUUUUCGGUUAAAUCUAUACGCUCAACGUAUAGGCUGCCGGGAAUACUGCAAAGCUAGGGAGUGGGAGAGGUAGACGGUACUCGGUAGGAAGGGGUAAAAUCCUUUGAUCUAUUGAUGACCACCUGUGGCGAAGGCGGUCUACCAGAACACGUCCGACGGUGAGGGAUGAAAGCUGGGGGAGCAGACCGGAUUAGAUACCCGGGUAGUCCCAGCCGUAAACCAUGCAAACUCAGUGAUGCAUUGGCUUGUGGCCAAUGCAGUGCUGCAGGGAAGCCGUUAAGUUUGCCGCCUGGGAAGUACGUACGCAAGUAUGAAACUUAAAGGAAUUGGCGGGGAGCACCACAAGGGGUGAAGCCUGCGGUUCAAUUGGAGUCAACGCCGGGA